rnacentral:rRNA from 1 species
GAGUUUGAUCCUGGCUCAGGAUGAAUGCUAGCGGCGUGGAUAAGGCAUGCAAGUCGAGCGGGUUUAGACCCGCGGCAGACGAGGUAGUAAUACACAGGUACGCACCGAAGAGUCGGGCACAUUCCGUCGAAAGACGGCGCAAUUCCCGAUGGCGUGGUGACACUAAAGGAGCAAUCCGCUCUUUGAGCGGCCUGUGCGGUAUCAGCUAGUUGGUAGGGUAAUGGCCUACCAAGGCGACGACACCUAGGGGAGCUGAGAGGCUGACCCCCACCGAUGGAACUGAGACACGGUCCAUACACCUACGGGUGGCUGCAGUCGAGAAUAUUUGGCAAUGGGCGAAAGCCUGACCAUGCGACGCCGCGUGGUUGACGAAGUCCUUCGGGACGUAAAAACCUUUUGCGCGUGAAGAAGUAAUUGACAUUAGCGCGCGAAUAAGGGGCUCCUAACUCUGUGCCAGCAGGAGCGGUAAUACAGAGGCCCCGAGCAUUAUCCGGAAUCACUGGGCGUAAAGGGUGUGCAGGCGGUAUGACUAGUCCUUCGUAAAAGCAUCGGGGCUUAACCCCGGUAAUGCGGUGGAAACGGUCGUACUGGAGGACGCGAGAGGUAGAGGGAACUCAUGGUGUAGGGGUGAAAUCCGUUGAUAUCAUGGGGAACACCGAAUGCGAAGGCACUCUACUGGCGCGCUCCUGACGCUCAUACACGAAAGCGUGGGAAUCGAACGGGAUUAGAUACCCCGGUAGUCCACGCCCUAAACGAUCAUAACUGGCUUUGCGGAGUAUCGACCCUCUGCGAGGCGAAGCUAACGCGUUAAGUUAUGCGCCUGGGUAGUACGAUCGCAAGAUUAAAACUCAAAGGAAUAGACGGGGACUUGCACAGGCGGUGGAUCAUGCGGCUCAAUUCGAUGACAAACGAAGAACCUCACCAGGGUUUGAAACCCAGACGACAAUUUUAGGAAACUAAAACUCCGAAAGGCGGCUGGGCAGGUGAUGCAUGGUCGUCGUCAGUUCGUGGCUUGAGUUGUUCCCUUCAGUGGGGUAACGAACGCAACCCGCGUUGCCUGUUUUACAUGUCAGGCGAGACUGCCCUCUCACGAGGGAGGAAGGUGCGGAUGACGCCAGAUCAGCAUGUCCCUCUGAUAUCCUGGGCUGCACGCAUGAUACAAUGCACUCGACAACGAGUCGCGACGGGGUAACCCUGAGCUAAUCUUUUAAACGAGUGCCCAGUUCGGAUUGAGGUCUGCAACCCGACCUCAUGAAGCCGGAAUCGCUAGUAAUCGCGGGUCAGCUAUACCGCGGUGAAUACGUUCUCAAGUCUUGUACUCACCGCCCGUCAACUCAAGGGAGCCGGGAAUACCUGAAGCGUCGCUCUGCGGCGUCACGGUAAGUUCGGUGACAGGGAGUAAGUCGUAACAAGGUAACCAAU